rnacentral:lncRNA from 1 species
GAGGCGCAGCGGUCGCGUUAGUUCGGCCCAAUGGCGGCACCGCUGCUUCACACGUUGUUUGUCGGGAGAUGCGGCCGCUUCGUCCUCUGCAGUCAAGACGCUGGGCGCGUCGAGGACUGGGAAUGUUACGUUCAUAACUUACUAAGGAUUAGUGUAUAUUUUCCAACCUUGAGGCAUGAAAUUCUGGAGCUUAUUAUUGAAAAACUACUCAAGCUGGAUGUGAAUGCAUCCCGGCAGGGUAUUGAAGAUGCUGAAGAAACAGCAAAUCAAACUUGUGGUGGGACAGAUUCCACGGAAGGAUUGUUUAAUAUGGGAUUCGCAGAGGCAUUUUUGGAACAUCUUUGGAAAAACUUGCAGGAUCCAAGUAAUCCUGCCAUCAUCAGGCAGGCUGCUGGAAAUUAUAUUGGAAGCUUUUUGGCAAGAGCUAAAUUUAUUUCUCUUAUUACUGUAAAACCAUGCCUAGAUCUUUUGGUUAACUGGCUGCACAUAUACCUUAAUAACCAGGAUUCGGGAACAAAGGCAUUCUGCGAUGUUGCUCUCCAUGGACCAUUUUACUCAGCCUGCCAAGCUGUGUUCUACACCUUUGUUUUUAGACACAAGCAGCUUUUGAGCGGAAACCUGAAAGAAGGUUUGCAGUAUCCUCAGAGUCUGAAUUUUGAGCGGAUAGUGAUGAGCCAGCUAAAUCCCCUGAAGAUUUGCCUGCCCUCAGUGGUUAACUUUUUUGCUGCAAUCACAAAGAUGAAGACUUGUGGAUAUGGAUGGUGGUGAUGGUUGCACAACAAUAUCAAUUUAUUUUAUACCACUGAACCGUGCACUUCAAAAUGGUUAAGAUGGUAAGUUUUAUGUUGUGUAUUUUACCAUAAUAAAAAAAAUUGUAGAGGGAAAAA